UCCUCCCUAGUUUCCUCCUCCCCAAACCCAGGAGUCCGGCCCCCAAGCCUUUCCUCCCUCUGACCCGGGAGUUUCAACCCCCGGCUUUCUCUUCCAUCAGGACUUUUGGUGCUGGCCACCCUCCUACUCCGCGGGCAGCAAGAGCGCUUUUAUGGGAACCUGUGCGGUGGUUUGGCACAUUGCUCCCCCAGGAGACUCUCAGCCCACGUGGAGCUGCUCACCAGUUGGCACGGACACCAUAUUGACUCUCAUCCAGGGCC